AUCUUCAGUUAAAUAGCAUAUGGCCCCGGCUGAUUAAAACCCCCUCCUGGUUUUAAUCAGCAACUUGGGAUCAGGUUUCUAAUGGUGGUGGUGGUGGCCUUGCCGGUUCCGUGGUAAGCUUUUCAACUACAUCUAAGUCUGGAGAAAGGGCGGUGGGGGAUGAGGGGCUUGGAGCUGACCCUGUCCACAGCCUGGGUGGCAGGAGAGCUGCUAGGGCCCUUCUGGAAUGACCUGAGGCAGCAGCCGGUUCCAGGGGGGAGUGGGAGAUCAGGCUGGGCUGCCUCAAGUUGCCUUCAGGGGACCAUGUUGGCUUGAGGCCAGGCACAGCCAACCUUGGCUUUGGCUGGGGGGCUCCACUGGCAGAUCCCCUCCUUAUAGAAAGUUUAAUGUUUGAGGGAAACUCUGCAGCAGCCACUCACCCGGGGAGGUGUACAGAGACCAGGGCUACUGCAGAGACUUGAACAAUGGGUGAUGAAGUUUGAAUCCCGGCUGUGAGGUUUCCCCAGUCUGAGUCUUACUUUUCUCAUUGUAAUUGGAUGAGUUCUGUUACUCCCCAGUUGUUUUUUUUUUUUUUUUUUUUUUNGGCCAUGCUUGUGGAAUGUGGACAUUCCCAGGCCAGGGGUUGAGUGGGAGCUGCAGCUGCCAGCCUGUGUCAUAGCCACUGCAAUGCCAGAUCUUUAACCCACUGAGCAAGGCCAGGGAUGGAACCCACAUCUUCACGGACACUAUUCUGGUUCUAACCCACUGAGCCACAACAAGAACUCCAGUUUUGUUAAGUACAAGUUUGUGACAAUUUGUUACAACAUCCUAGGAAACUAAUACAACUUACCAGCAGAGAAACUAAGGCUCUGUAAAUGGAGGAGCUGGCGCAGGGGCAGCCAGCGCUCUAGCCAAACCACACAGAUGCGCAUCAGGGGCGGCUCCCCACAGGAGAAUGACCAGACGCCGUUUCCAGAAGGAGCCAGGCAGGCAAACCCCAGCAACACCCAGUGCCUGACAGCCAGCGCCUUCCCUGGCCUCUCUAGCUUCUCCUGGACCUGGGGACAUUCUGGAGCAUCUUUUCACAUCUGUAGACACCUGCAGCCUGACCGUGACCCCAGAAGGUAGGAGAGGUUGUGAAGACACCGAGACAUCAGGUUCCAAUGAUGAAGGUAAAAAGCCAAGUGCACCAUUCUGGAAAAUGGGUGUUUAAAAAAAAAUCAGGUGUGUGCCUUUCUUUUGGAAUGAGUAUUUUUAUUUUCUGAAGACUUGGAACAGAAAAGCCAGGCCAGGAAUGGGAGGCAGGAGACCUACGUUCAAGUCUGGGCUCUUCUACCCUAGUGCUCUGUGACCUUGAGGCUCUUUCCCAUCACCAAAAUGACCUGACAAAAUGACCACCCCU
rnacentral:lncRNA from 1 species